UCUAACUUGCCAUUCUAUGGAAGCAUUCUGCGGGAUCUGGACGCCCUGUUCAUCGCUGCUGCCGGAUCUGGACGCCCUGUUCAUCGCUGCUGCCGUAUCUGGCCGCUCCGGCUCUCAUCAACGCUGCCCCGCGAUGGAGAGAAGGUGGGAGGGUGUUGGUCACAGUGAGAGGAGUCCGGCGAGAUUGAGAAGGGGAAGGCGGAGAGAAAAGGAAGUGGCUCGAUCCACAGCCGCCGCGGGCGCCCAGCCCCCACUGCCGCCGGUGCCGCCCCACAACACCUCCGGCCCGUCCCCCACGGCCUUGCCUCGAACUGGUGCCCCAUACCAGCAUCUCUCGGGCCUCCCUGCCAUUUAAUGUAUGCCACAGUUUGGACGCCGCCGUCUCCCUGUUCAUUUUCAGAUGUUGAACUGAACUAUUCAUUUUCAGGUUGGUGUAUGCCACGGGAGGGCAUUUUAUUGUUACUUUUAUAAUGUCAAGCUACCAAUCGUUCUCCAUAUAUGCAGUUAUACAGUACUACAACGUGAAACAUCCUUGUUCAUUUUCAGAUGUUGAACUGAACUGUUUAUGUCCCUAAAUUCAACCAUACCAUGUGUAACUCAUGAUUGUGUUAGCAUGUAUAAAAAAAUUCUUGAUGAUUAAAUAUUAAUAUGUAGGCACAGCGAUAACUCAUUGUAAUUGUGUGGACCAUCCGUUAGGUUAAAGACUCACUGACAUCUUCUUUAAUUGCAGGAAUGUAGAUUAGUAAUCUUAAGGAUUUUGUUCUACUGGUACUGAAGGUAGGAAAUGGUAUAAGUGGGAUAUUACUUGACGUGGAGUGGUCUCGCUUUUCUUCUGUAGAUUAUAUGUCUUCUUUGGUUUUGAAAAAAAUAAAGGACACGAGUAUAAAAAUAAAUGUAAACCAGGAUUUUGUGGUGGGCCUUUGUAUAGAGUAAACUAUAAAUAAAACACGCACGUGGAGGGGUCUCACUUUCCUCUUGUAGAUUAUGUAUGCCUCAACCUCUUCCAUCUUCCAUUACUAACACUUGUACAUGUUGGUCCAUGUAAAUUAAAAAUUUAUGUUUCAUGCUUACAUAUAUAGUCCCUACCAUUUUAUUGUCAAAAUGGAAGGACACGGCAACGCUCUUCUUCAUGAUCUAGUUCUUAUUAGUACGCUGCACCCAGCAAAGCACCAGAAUUUGUGACAAACCAUAUUGAAAAAUCAUCCAAGUUAACAUGAUCUUUACUGGACACACCUUAUGCAUGAGGGCUAUUAUGUCUCAAUACUUUCAAAUCUACUUUCAUAGUACUUCUUGAUCCAUUUCUGUCCAUAUAACUAUAUCAUGUAUAAUAGCUUAUAAGAUCUGUUGUUUUGCGUUCUUUGUAGUUCCUUAUAGACUAUACACAUCUAACAUCUUCUGUCUACAAGCUCAUACAUUGUCUUAUGUAUCAUAUGUUUGUACUUUGCCUCUUUAGUUUUUAUAUGAUGAAAAAGAAUCACUUCCGCUUAUCCACUUUUUCAUGAUUCUUCAGUAGGGAAAGGAUGUGAUACUAUAUAGUGUUUAUCAGGAUCAUGGCAGCCCUGUGGCAAAAGCUACCAUUCUAUCAAUUGAUCGGAGAGAGGUGGUAGGUGCACAUGAGCUUGGCUCUGAAUAUUGUAAGGUUGUCAUGAACUAUGUAAUUAAAAGAGAUGUUAUUCUUCCUCGUGGUGUUGGGAACAUGACAACCAUGGGGCAAGCUCAAGGGUGAUGUAUCGCUCGGCCUUACAAGCAUUUAGAAGUGGACAAGUCAGUGGCAAAUACAGCAAUGCGACCACAAGCAAGCUGAUGAGCUCACACAUCGGAACAUUGUUUUUAAGGCGUCCCUGAAGCGUCGCCUAGGCGUCAGAGUGCUCCCCCUCUGCUUUAGAAAAUCGACCGCUUUGGGCGCCUAGGCGCCUAAAGCGUCCGCCUAGUCGUCGCCUAGGCGUCAACGCGCUCCCCCUCCCUAAAGCGGUUUCCCAAAGACAAGUUGGAGGUUUCGAAGAUGUGGAAGACCUUCAAUUUUGAGUGCUGCAAUGAUAAUGUAAUAUGUUUAUUUUUGAACCUGGAGACUAGCUCUGCCCAUUUUGUAACAGCCAUUGUAUGGCCACUUUCCCUUUUGUGGCACAACUUCAUUUUAGUUAUGUGGCACAUCUAGAAACAUAUAUAUGUACCCGUUGUAUUUGCUUGUUAUGUUUAUCGGAUGCAGAUUAAGGUUUCCUGUGAGGCAUAUAUGUAACUCUCAUUGAAGUGUAUGGAUAAAUUGUGUGAUA